rnacentral:rRNA from 1 species
GACGAACGCUGGCGGCGUGCCUAACACAUGCAAGUCGAACGGAAGUAAGUGCUUCGGUAUUUACUUUAGUGGCGAACGGGUGAGUAACGCGUGAGGAACCUGCCUUUCAGAGUGGAAUAACGUUUGGAAACGAACGCUAAUACCGCAUAACGUGAGAAGAGGGCAUCCUCUUUUUACCAAAGAUUUAUCGCUGAGAGAUGGGCUCGCGGCCGAUUAGGUAGUUGGUGAGAUAACAGCCCACCAAGCCGACGAUCGGUAGCCGGACUGAGAGGUUGAUCGGCCACAUUGGGACUGAGACACGGCCCAG